rnacentral:rRNA from 1 species
GAGGAAAAGAAACCAACAGGGAUUGCCCCAGUAACGGCGAGUGAAGCGGCAACAGCUCAAAUUUGAAAUCUGGCCCCUAGGGUCCGAGUUGUAAUUUGUAGAGGAUGCUUUUGGUGAGGUGCCGCCCGAGUUCCCUGGAACGGGACGCCACAGAGGGUGAGAGCCCCGUCUGGCUGGCCGCCGAGCCUCUGUAAAGCUCCUUCGACGAGUCGAGUAGUUUGGGAAUGCUGCUCAAAAUGGGAGGUAUAUGUCUUCUAAAGCUAAAUAUUGGCCAGAGACCGAUAGCGCACAAGUAGAGUGAUCGAAAGAUGAAAAGCACCUUGAAAAGAGGGUUAAAUAGUACGUGAAAUUGUUGAAAGGGAAGCGCUUGUGACCAGACUUGGGCGCGGCGGAUCAUCCGGGGUUCUCUCCGGUGCACUUCGCCGCGUCUAGGCCAGCAUCAGUUCGUCGCGGGGGAAAAAGGCUUCGGGAACGUGGCUCCUCCGGGAGUGUUAUAGCCCGUUGCAUAAUACCCUGCGGUGGACUGAGGACCGCGCAUCUGCAAGGAUGCUGGCGUAAUGGUCACCAGCGACCCGUC